UACGGGGGGGGCAAGCGUUGUUCGGAAUUACUGGGCGUAAAGGGCUCGUAGGUGGCCAACUAAGUCAGACGUGAAAUCCCUCGGCUUAACCGGGGAACUGCGUCUGAUACUGGAUGGCUUGAGAUUGGGAGAGGGAUGCGGAAUUCCAGGUGUAGCGGUGAAAUGCGUAGAUAUCUGGAGGAACACCGGUGGCGAAGGCGGCAUCCUGGACCAACACUGACGCUGAGGCGCGAAAGCUAGGGGAGCAAACGGG
rnacentral:rRNA from 1 species